AUGAAGCGCCUGCUCAGGCGGCUCUCCCGCGUCGCUGCGGCAGACGCCUGCGCCGCCGCCGCGUACAACCCACUCCGGCCCGACGCCGCCGCGAAGGCCUCCUCCAUGGCAGCUUCGGCGUCGUCCACGGCGUUCUUCGGCGCGCGGAGGCUCGGCCGCGGCGCACGGGUGCCGGAGGGGCACGUGCCGGUAUUCAUUGGCGAGGAGGGCGGCCCUGUCGAGCGCUUCGCCGUGCGGGCCGAGCUGCUGGGCCAGCCGGCGUUCAAGGCCCUGCUCCGGCGUGCCGCGCAGGAGUACGGCUACGGCCACCCGGGCGCGCUCCGCAUCCCCUGCGCCGUGGACAACUUCCGCCGCCUCCUCCUCGGCCUCUCCGACCCCGGCUGCCAGGCCACCGACGACGACGACUCCGCGCUCUACUAA
rnacentral:rRNA from 1 species